AAUUUUGGAAAAUUGGGGCAACCCUGAUCCAGCCCUCCCGCGUGUGCGACGAAGGACUUCGGGUUGUAAAGCACUUUUGGCAGGGAAGAAAAGCCGCGGGUUAAUACCCUGCGGUUCUUACGGUACCUGCAGAAUAAGCACCGGCUAAAUACGUGCCAGCAGCCGCGGUAAUACGUAGGGUGCAAGCGUUAAUCGGAAUUACUGGGCGUAAAGCGUGCGCAGGCGGUUCGGCAAGAAGGAUGUGAAAUCCCGGGGCUUAACCUCGGAACUGCAUUCUUAACUGCCGGGCUAGAGUAUGUCAGAGGGGGGUAGAAUUCCGCGUGUAGCAGUGAAAUGCGUAGAGAUGCGGAGGAAUACCGAUGGCGAAGGCAGCCCCCUGGGAUAAUACUGACGCUCAUGCACGAAAGCGUGGGGAGCAAAC
rnacentral:rRNA from 1 species